AUGAUCUCACAGCACUGAAGGACCACUUCUGCUAGAAGUCAGAAGAGAUAGUGAGUUUGGAUCAGAUUCCAUUUCUGUUGGAUCCAGCAGUGGCCCUGUUAGCCUCACACUAGGUAACCAGUUUGUGGUGAAAACAAGAAGAGAGAAGCCCUCAACCACCCCUGGCAGAGCAGCUGUCACAAUGGAUUGGCUUCCAGCAUCUUGCCAGCUGCCCCUAGCACCGGCUGUCUGCAUGAGUUAAGAGUCUUCUCCUGAGCUGCUGAGAACUGCCACAGCUAGCCUGUAUCAUUCACAGCAUCCAUGAGCACAGGACUGCCGUCCGGACAUCGGAUGCCCUGCAGCUCCUUGGGCACUCAGCUGGUGCAGAAGGGAAGCAGCAUCUAUCUGCAUGAAGGUGUAAUCCAAUAUCAGAAGCAGCCCCUUGUCAGUGCUUUGUGAGAAAGAAACAGCUGAGAGAAACAGGCAGACCAUCACAUCCUGGAAAUACGAGAAGGGAUGCUGGAACUGGAGGUGAAGGAAGUCUCAAAGCAUGUCAGCUAAAAGCAUGGGAGCUGGAGAGAGGGAAGCAAUGACUUUCACAUGAAAUGAGGCUGUCUUUCUUCCUUUCUUCA